rnacentral:rRNA from 1 species
GACUAACGCUGGCGGCGUGCUUAACACAUGCAAGUCGACCGCGUGGCGAACGGUUGAGUAACACGUUGGUGAUCUGCCUUGCACUUCGGGAUAAGCUUGGGACACUGGGUCUAAUACCUGAUAGUGCAAGAUUAGCUCGCUGCCUAUCAGCUUGUUGGUGGGGUAAUGGCGACCCAGACGCGACGGGUAGACGGCCUGAGAGGGUGUACGGCCACAUUGGGACUGAGAUACGGCCCAGACUCCUACGGGAGGCAGCAGUGGGGAAUAUUGCACAAUGGGCGGAAGUGUGAUGCAGCGACGCCGGGUGGGGGAUGAAGGCCUUGGGGUUGUAAACUCCUUUCGACAGGGACGCGGUACCUGUAUAAGAAGCACCGGCUAACUACGUGCCAGCAGCCGCGGUAAUAC